GUAGGUGGCAAGCGUUGUCCGGAAUUAUUGGGCGUAAAGCGCGCGCAGGCGGUUCUUUAAGUCUGAUGUGAAAGCCCACGGCUCAACCGUGGAGGGUCAUUGGGAUCUGGAGAACUUGAGUACAGAAGAGGAAAGCGGAAUUCCACGUGUAGCGGUGAAAUGCGUAGAGAUGUGGAGGAACACCAGUGGCGAAGGCGGCUUUCUGGUCUGUAACUGACGCUGAGGCGCGAAAGCGUGGGGAGCAAACAGGAUUAGAUACCCUGGUAGUCCACGCCGUAAACGAUGAGUGCUAAGUGUUAGGGGGGGUUUUUACCGGCCCCCCCCGUUAGUGCUGCAGCUAACGCAUUAAACCACUCCGCCUGGGGAUACGGCCGCAAGGCUG
rnacentral:rRNA from 1 species